AGAGGGAAUGCAGAUCCUGGGUUGUGUCCCCCGGAGCCCUGAGUUCUGGGGCCUGCACCGCUGGAAUCGCUCCCGGGGGCGGUGCAGCCCCCU
rnacentral:pre_miRNA from 1 species